rnacentral:rRNA from 1 species
UACGUAGGUGGCAAGCGUUGUCCGGAUUUACUGGGCGUAAAGAGCGCGCAGGCGGUCGUUCAAGUCGCGUGUGAAAGCCCCCGGCUCAACUGGGGAGGGUCACGCGAUACUGAUCGACUCGAAGGCAGGAGAGGGUAGUGGAAUUCCCGGUGUAGUGGUGAAAUGCGUAGAUAUCGGGAGGAACAUCAGUGGCGAAGGCGGCCAUCUGGAUCAACACUGACGCUGAGGCACGAAAGCGUGGGGAGCAAACAGG